rnacentral:rRNA from 1 species
UCUGCGAGAAAGUUAUAGCAAUAUAGCGAGUAAAGCGGCGAAAGGGUGCGUAACGCGUAAGCAACUUGCCCAUAGGAUGGGGAUAACGUCGAGAAAUCGGCGCUAAUACCCAAUAAUGCAGCGGCAUCGCAUGAUGAUGUUGUUAAAGGUCGCUUCGGUGGCGCCUAUGGAUGGGCUUGCGUCUGAUUAGUUAGUUGGCGAGGUAACGGCUCACCAAGACGACGAUCAGUAGCUGGUCUGAGAGGAUGAUCAGCCACACUGGAACUGAGACACGGUCCAGACUCCUACGGGAGGCAGCAGUGAGGAAUAUUGGGCAAUGCCCGCAAGGGUGACCCAGCAACGCCGCGUGGAGGACGACAGCCGUAAGGUUGUAAACUCCUGUUCGGGGGGACGAAUAACCGUCGUUUGCAAAGGCGACGGCUUGACGGUACCCUCAGAGAAAGCCCCGGCUAACUACGUGCCAGCAGCCGCGGUAAUACGUAGGGGGCAAACGUUUGUCCGGAUUUACUGGGUGUAAAGGGCGCGCAAGGCGGGUCGGACAGUCAGAGGUGAAAGCCCACAGUUUAACUGUGGAACUGCCUUUGAUACUGCCGAUCUUGAGU